rnacentral:rRNA from 1 species
UACGUAGGGUGCGAGCGUUAAUCGGAAUUACUGGGCGUAAAGCGUGCGUAGGCGGUUCGUUAAGUGCGUCGUGAAAGCCCCGGGCUCAACCUGGGAAUGGCGAUGGAAACGGGCGGGCUGGAGUAUGGCAGAGGGGGGUGGAAUUCCGCGUGUAGCAGUGAAAUGCGUAGAGAUGCGGAGGAACACCGAUGGCGAAGGCCGCCCCCUGGGCCAAUACUGACGCUCAGGCACGAAAGCGUGGGGAGCAAACAGG